UACGAAGGGGGCUAGCGUUGCUCGGAAUCACUGGGCGUAAAGGGCUCGUAGGCGGCCAACUAAGUCAGACGUGAAAUCCCUCGGCUUAACCGGGGAACUGCAUCUGAUACUGGAUGGCUUGAGUUCGGGAGAGGGAUGUGGAAUUCCAGGUGUAGCGGUGAAAUGCGUAGAUAUCUGGAGGAACACCGGUGGCGAAGGCGGCAUCCUGGACCGACACUGACGCUGAGGAGCGAAAGCCAGGGGAGCAAACGGG
rnacentral:rRNA from 1 species